UUAUGAGUGUUGUUGUUUUUGUCCACAGGCCUGAAGUCAGUUCCACACAGGAAAUGGAUCUUGUCUCUGACAUGAUUAUUUUACCUCCUCCGGACCUUUAUGCCGACUUGAGCGUGGAGUGAAUAUUAAAGGACAGAGAGGCAGGGAAAGGAUUGUUUGUUGUUGUUGUUGUGGACACGGUGGACCUCGUCCGUCCCCUCAGGCUGUGACUCCAUCGUCUGGACCAAGACCUUAUUCACCUGGUGACUGCACUUCAACGUGAAACCAAAGAGGGCAGCUUCUAUUGGGUGAGACUUGAACCUUGGGGACAAGCUGGACCAAGGAAAGGACUCACUCAAGACAAUUACACACUUCCUGUGAAAAUACACACAAUUAAUAUGGUGUAAAUUGCAAAUGUGGACAUGUGCCAUUUUCCUGAGAAAAUACAAAAGACAGAAACCUCUUUUUUUCCUCAGUGUUUAUUUCUUCUGGAUCCCCGUUUGUGUCCUAAACACUUGUUACCAGUUUACAGUGUUAGUGGCAAAAGAGUAAAUAAAUUAUAGGUGAUAAACACACAACUGAAUGAAGUUAAAGGGGCCGUGUGUAGGAUGCAGUGGCACCUGGUGGUGAGGUUGUAGAUUGCAGCCGACUUGCCCUCCACCUUCAGACCCCCAUGUGAUGGAGAACUAGUGUGACCUGCAGGGAAUUCAAAAGCUUAAAGCUGCAUUCUGUCUCCUGACCAGCAGGGGGCGACUCCUCUGCUCCCAUAGACGUCUAUGAGGAAAUGACUCUAAUCCUUUAAUAACCUGAUAUGUGUGAGUGUAUAUAUAUAUACACACACUCAUUAACAUUGUAAGACAACCUUAAGCAUUUAGUUUUUGUAUUAGUUUUUUAUUUUAUUUUAUUUUUUUCUACUUUUAUUUACUCUUGUUAUUUUGUUAGAUACUUAAAAAUGGAAAUGCCCGUGUCAUAUUAUGUACAGUAUAAACUACAGUAUAUACUGAGCCUCUAAUGUGUUUUUACUGUAAUAAUGAUUAGAAUCGUUAAUACUGAACCUUUAAGAAUUCUGUCACGUCUUCGUAUCUUAAACUCCAUAAACUUCUUUCUUUGAUUUUUAUGCAGCGUUUUAACAACUUUGUUUCUACAACUGAUGAAUAAAAAGUGUUAAAGAGAAA